rnacentral:rRNA from 1 species
AUGUUGUCAUCAUCAUCGGACGACGAAAGUCUCCCGGCGGAGUGCGACUGGUGCCACGACGAUCGAGGUAUGUGCGACAUGCCUCACCUGGACGAUGAUCGGCGCUUCAGCAUUAAGCUCGAGGAGACCUUCGAAGUUGAAACGCUUAUCCCAUGCCAUGCAAGACGCUAUGUCUUGGAGAGGAUGGAUUUUGAAGACCAUGAAAUUUCUGAAACAAAGAAAAUUCACCUAAGGACUCAUCACGAUGUGGACUUUGAAGUAAAUCUAUAUAAUUCUGAGAGCGUAACCCAUUUUGGUUGCAAAAAUUGGGAAGCAUUUUGCAAGAUGUAUGGUUUUGAUGAGGGUAUGAUUAUCACCAUGGAUCUUGGUAAUCCUGACAUCAACCAAGACAAUAUGGACAUUUAG